AUCGGUUUUGGCGAUAUGGUUCCAAAAACGUACAUGGGAAUGAUGGUUGGCAGCUUUUGCGCUCUGACCGGCGUGUUGACCAUUGCGUUGCCCGUUCCGGUGAUCGUUAGCAAC
rfam:Trichuris suis scaffold62.13, whole genome shotgun sequence.